GUGCCAGCCGCCGCGGUAAUACCCGCAGCUCAAGUGGUGGCCACUAUUAUUGAGCCUAAAGCGUCCGUAGCCGGUCUUGUAAAUCUCUGGGUAAAUCCUGCCGCUCAACGGUAGGAAUGCUGGAGAGACUGCAAUACUAGGGAUCGGGUGAAGUAGAAGGUACUCCUGGGGUAGGGGUAAAAUCCUGUAAUCCUGGGGGGACGACGGUGGCGAAGGCGUUCUACUAGAACGACUCCGACGGUGAGGGACGAAGGCUAGGGGAGCAAACCGGAUCAGAUACCCGGGUAGUCCUAGCUGUAAACGCUGCCCACUUGGUGUUGCCCUUUCUUCGGGAAAGGGCAGUGCCGGAGCGAAGGUGUUAAGUGGGCCGCUUGGGGAGUAUGGUCGCAAGGCUGAAACUUAAAGGAAUUGCGGGAGAGCACCGCAACGGGAGGAGCGUGCGGUUUAAUUGGAUUCAACGCCGGAAAACUCACCGGGAGCGACCUUCGGAUGAGGGUCAACCUGACGAAUUUACCCGAUAGAAGGAGAGGUGGUGCAUGGCCGUCGUCAGCUCGUACCGUAGGGCGUUCACUUAAGUGUGAUAACGAGCAAGACCCCCAUCUCUAAUUGCCAGACUGUCUUAGCGGGCAGAGGCACUUUAGAGGGACCGCCAGCGCUAAGCUGGAGGAAGGAGGGGUCGACGGCAGGUCAGUACGCCCCGAAUCUCCCGGGCUACACGCGCGCUACAAAGGACGGGACAAUGAGCUGCAACCUCGAAAGGGGAAGCUAACCUCGAAACCCGUUCGUAGUCAGGACUGAGGGCUGUAACUCGCCCUCACGAAUGUGGAUUCCGUAGUAAUCGUAGGUCAACAGCCUACGGUGAAUAUGCCCCUGCUCCUUGCACACACCGCCCGUC
rnacentral:rRNA from 1 species